UAAGGAGCCUUGCAGCUCCUUGAAGGCAGGGAGAUUAGUAGAAGCUUUCACCCCGAAUGUGCUGACCCCUGCAGUUUCCCCAAGUGUGGGAAACUUGACUGCAUAAUUUGUGGUAGUGGGGGACUGUGUUCAUGCUUUCACCUG
rnacentral:snRNA from 1 species